GACGAACGCUGGCGGCGUGCUUAACACAUGCAAGUCGAACGAAGUGGCGAACGGGUGAGUAACGCGUAAUCAACCUGCCCUUCAGGGGGGGAAAACAGUGGGAAACGACUACUAAUACCCAAUACUGAGGAGGGGGAUUGCGUCUGAUUAGCUAGUUGGAUGGGUAACGGCCCACCAAGGCGAUGAUCAGUAGCCGGUCUGGGAGGAUGAACGGCCACAUUGGGACUGAGACACGGCCCAGACUCCUACGGGAGGCAGCAGUGGGGAAUCUUCCGCAAUGGACGAAAGUCUGACGGAGCAACGCCGCGUGAGUGAUGACGGCCUUCGGGUUGUAAAGCUCUGUUAAUCGGGACGCGGUACCGGAAUAGAAAGCCACGGCUAACUACGUGCCAGCCGCCGCGGUAAUAC
rnacentral:rRNA from 1 species